CUAAUCAUUACACGUUUUUAUUCUUUUGAAUACUCAAGUAUUCAUAGUGAUAGAUGUUUUUCUUGUUGGUUGAUCUACGCGAUCAUGAUUACUUUCUUAAUUUUUUUGUGUUUCAUCCUAGACUUGUUUAGGAGUCGAUUGAAUAUAUGUUUUUGAAUACAUGUUUUUAUAUAUAAAGAUCUAAAAUGAGAGUUGUGUUGAUUUCUCCUUUUACAAUAUCUAAAAGAGAUGGAUGUUUCCGAACCAUUUCAAUACCCGUUUAUUUUUCUUUUGAAUACUCAAUUAUACAUAGUGAUAGAUGUUUAACUUUGUUGGUUGAUCUACGUGAUCAUGAUUACUUUCUUGAUUAUUUUUGUUUCAUCCUAGACUUGUUUAGGAGUCGAUUGAGUAUAUAUAGUUCUUUUUAAUACAUGUUUUUAUUUAUAAAGUUCUAAAAAGAGAGUUGUGUUGAUUUCUCCUUUUACAUGUAUCUAAAAGAGAUUGUUUCCGAACCAUUUCAAUACACGCUGUUGUUCUUUUGAGUACCCAUUAUACAUAGUGUUAGAUGUUUUCCUUGUUGGUUGAUCUACGUGAUGAUGAUUACUUUCUUAAUUUUCUUGUUUCAUUCUAGACUUGUUUAUAAAUAUAUAUAUAUAUAUAUAUAUAUUGAUCUAACAAGACAGUUGUGUUGAUUUCUAAUUGUACUUAGAUAACAAGGUCGUUGUUUCUGAACCAUUUCAAUACUCUAUUUUUUAUUCUUUUUAACCUUCUAAUGCUCCAUAUACACAAGGCGAAACCAGGCUAAAAAAGCCCAAUAGGAAUGAACUAAUACUUGCGAAAGCCCACAAGACUAAACCUCUGCAUCCUACAUCACCUGAAACCCUUGUCACUCGAAACUGUACCAAACAGAGAGAUGGCGAUAUGGUGGCGUGGUCUGAGAUCCGCGGCGGGAAGACUACGGGCUCUAUAUCGGAUUCCCGCUGGGGAGAUGUUGAAGGAUGAUGUUCCUGGUCUCAAGAAAGGAAUUAAGAUGACUAGUAGAAGACUUCUCUCCACAAAACCAGAUUGGUACCAUCUUUCUGAUACAGAUGGAAUUUCACGUUCUUUUUCUUCUGUGGUUCAAAUCUACUCAAUUUUUCGGAGGGCAAAUGUGGAGUACCCGUGGUCUGGUUCCACUAGCACCCAUGGAGUUGGUUCAGGUUUUAUUAUCCAGGGGAGAAAAAUCAUCACAAAUGCUCACGUUGUGAACCAAGCUACUUCAAUCCAAAUGAACCAAGAUACUCAGGCGUUAGCUUUACAAUCCCAGAACACGUCUUUCCCGAUUGACUCUGCAACCAGCUAAUCACAGACUUUUUUAUCAACAAAGACAAGCCGAAAGAGUCUAUGUCCUUUGGACCUAAAGCACCAGCACCAUGCCAGUUGUUUUGCUGAACCAACGCCAUCCACUGAAGGCUCGCAUCGACCUUGGUAAAUUCAUUGUGCCAGAUUAUUGUAUUUUCGGUGGACUCGUUUUUAUCGAUAACCAAUCCGGUGUUCAAAUAGCUCAGAUUUGUAUGUGUUUCUUUAUCUUUAUAACUAAGUUGAUGAUGUAAACCUUUCUGAAUUUGAUAUGUAAAUUUGUAUGUAUAAUUGAAGGUACUUGAACAUCCCAUCAAUAUUGGAUUUACUCGGUCAAUAGAGUGGAUGUCAAUUCAGUUAAAGGGACUUUGUGUAGAGAUCCAGAAGUGUUCGGUGCAGUACUUGCGAUUUGGUCUUAGAGGCGGACGAGUGGUAAUCGUAGACCGAAGCCGUUGCGAAGAGGCAAAAGAUUCAAUUUUGCUCAAAAAAUAGAAUUAUGAAGUACUGUUCAGAAGGGAUUGAAGUAUAAAGUUGAAGAGGCGCUGAAGAAGAGUUUUUUUUUCUGAGAUUUGCUAUGAGACUCUUUUUAUAUUAUGAUUUCCCUUUUCAGGUUUUGGUGUUUUGAUUACCGAUGUUGGACUUUUCAUUUGUAUAAAAUUAACGUUUUAGGACUUCUGAUAUUUGCCUAAUUGGAACAAGUGUGUAACAAGUUCUAUUUCUGCAGUUUUCAGGAAUUAGAUUGAUGGGAUCGAUUAAGUGGAGGACGUGGGUUCUGGGUUAAGUGGAAUCAGAGUUGGCUUUGUAAUCUUAGAAACGAUUCAUCCUCCUACUUUUCUUCUUUUUUUUGUUUGGAACCAAUGCUUUGUUGGAGUGUAGUGUUCAGAUUUUGUUGAAAGAGCUUGUAUAUUCUGGCUUCUGAGGGACACCUUAGGAGAUUAAGAAUCUGUGUGAAAUGGGCAACGCUUAAGGCUUUGUUCGAUGGAUCUUAAGGAGAUUCUGAGUAAGAGGGAGAAGGAUACAGCUAAUGGUUUGUUUGUGUUUCUGGUUCAGUCAAGGGUCACAGUGUCUAAGUAAAACAAGUGGCAUGGUGCUUUAGGUCCAAAGGACAUGGACUCUUUCGGCUUGUCUUUGUUGAUAAAGAAGUCUGUGAUUAGCUGGUUGCAGAGUCAAUCGGGAAAGACGUGUUCUGGGAUUGUAAAGAUAACGCCUGAGUAUCUUCUCUAUCUAAGUGACUCCAUGGAUGAUAUUUGAGCGGGGGUUGAACAUAAUGAUAUCGAUGAUAACUGCCUCCAUUCUCUGGUGCUUGUUCUUCAGCUAUGGAUCAUGAAGUUGGUUCAGAUAAAGAUGGAAUGAGCACUGUGUUUGAGGAAGCUGAGAGUGUCCCAGUGGGUGAGUUGAUAUCGAGUCCUGUUUCAGUGAAGAUGAGUCAUCUAUCACAAACGAAGGAUCUCCCCUAAACCAGCUUUAAAGGCUUAUAAUGGUAGUUACGGUGGGAGGCAUGUUCUCUCGUUUGAUGCUGCUUUUUUGUCACUAGUCGUAAUGGGUUGCGAGUUAAUGAUAUUGAAGAGGAAGAAGCGGCAGUAAGAUGAUUUCUGAAGGAAAUGGGAAUGGUUCAACCUCUGGAAUCAAAGAGAGUGCGCGAUAAAAAGAGAAACCGUAGAUCAUAGAGAAGCAUCGGUGAUCCGUUUGCCGCCACAGAGAUCAUGUGAACAUGUUAGGUCUCAACAAGACAACCUCGAGACUCAGGGAUUUGAAGAGUGGAAUGGUUCAUCCUGGGAUAGUGCAGAAACUAGCUGAGAGAAAAGGAGGUAUGUCUCUAGGCAUUGGUUACCUCAGACACAUAAAGAUUGUCGAUAAUCGUAGCAAAGAUUCAAGUUCUUGGAAACCAGAUGGAAGAAACAACAAGGGGUUCAUUAGGGUUGAGGUCGUUACAGCUUCACUUGGGUUCUUGACAAACUUUGAAGAUGUUUACAGAUUAUGGAACUUCGUGGCAAAGUUCUUAGUCCAGGCUUUGCUAAACAGGGUACACUCCCAACAGUUAUUGAAGAAGAUGUCUCUUCAAAAACUUAGAAGGAGACAUGAGCAUUGGAUAAAUUUAUUCCCCUUACACUUUACUGUACUUAUCUGAGAAUAUUGAACAUUCUCAUGUAUGAUUCUGGUAGGUUAUGUCUAGCUAUUCUCUGUGACUGAUGGUUUGUUUUCAAGAUUCGUUCAUCUCAAUCUCUAGCGCA